UACAGAGGUGGCAAGCGUUGUUCGGAAUUACUGGGCGUAAAGGGCGCGUAGGCGGCCUUCUAAGUCAGACGUGAAAUCCCCCGGCUUAACCUGGGAACUGCGUCUGAUACUGGGAGGCUAGAGUAUGGGAGAGGGAUGUAGAAUUCCAGGUGUAGCGGUGAAAUGCGUAGAUAUCGUAAGGAAGACCAGUGGCGAAGGCGGGUCUCUGGACAGUUCCUGACGCUGAGGCACGAAGGUCAGGGGAGCAAACGGG
rnacentral:rRNA from 1 species